UGCCCAGCAACUCCUAUCCCUACCUCCUCGUGGUACUGGCCGGGGUACGAGUAACCUUAGGGAAGAUCGGGUAAUCAACCCCGGUGGGAACUUUGGUCGUAUGCUGACAGGGAAGG
rnacentral:ribozyme from 1 species